rnacentral:rRNA from 1 species
UGCAGAGGUCUCAAGCGUUGUUCGGAUUCAUUGGGCGUAAAGGGUGCGUAGGCGGCGCGGUAAGUCGGGUGUGAAAUCUCGGAGCUUAACUCCGAAACUGCAUUCGAUACUGCCGUGCUUGAGGACUGGAGAGGAGACUGGAAUUUACGGUGUAGCGGUGAAAUGCGUAGAUAUCAGGAGGAACACCAAUAGCGAAGGCAGCUCGCUGGGACGGUAUUGACGCUAAGGCGCGAAAGCCAGGGGAGCGAACGGG